rnacentral:misc_RNA from 1 species
GCAUUUGGAGCCGGAGGUGAAUCCAUCUUCAAAUGCUGGAAGUGGUUUGAGCUUGUUUUGGUGGAGGGGGGGAAGGCUAUCUCGUCGACUAUUCAACUGGAAGCUAUUGCCCCAAUCAUUGGCGCGCAAAGCUGCCCGACAAGGUGGAUGUAAGAAGAUACCAGACAUGUUAUAUCCGGACAAUUCAGACUUUGCCAAGAGAAAUAAGUGCAUAGCUUGGAGGGCUGCUGUUGAAACUUCAAGAACCGUGGAGCAACUUGCUCUCCAGGUUAGAGAUCUUGAUGCUCAUAUUAGAUGGGAUGAUAUUGGAAACACCAAUAUCCUUGCAAUUAUAGACAAGGAAUUUCAAAAAGCUGUCAGAUCAUUCAAGAAAG